CUACGGGAGGCAGCAGCAAGGAAUUUUCGGCAAUGGGCGCAAGCCUGACCGAGCAACGCCGCGUGGAGGACGACGGCCUUCGGGUUGUAAACUCCUUUUGCGGGGGAUGAUUGUGACCGUACCCCGCGAAUAAGGCUCGGCUAACUCUGUGCCAGCAGCCGCGGUAAGACAGAGGAGCCAAGCGUUGUCCGGAUUGACUGGGCGUAAAGCGCACGCAGGCGGUCGUGCACGUGGGGUGUGAAACCUGGCGGCUUAACCGCCAGACGCCACCGCAUACGGUGCGACUUGAGACUGGCAGAGGUUCGUGGAAUUGCCGGUGUAGUGGUGAAAUGCGUAGAGAUCGGCAGGAACACCAAGGGGGAAACCAGCGAACUGGGCCAGUUCUGACGCUCAGGUGCGAAAGCGUGGGGAGCGAACCGGAUUAGAAACCCCAGUAGUCC
rnacentral:rRNA from 1 species